rnacentral:tRNA from 1 species
GGUAGUAUGGCUGAUAUGAGUGACAGACUGUAAAUCUGUUUAUAAGGGCCCACCCCUUUGCUGCCA